rfam:Candidatus Roizmanbacteria bacterium RIFCSPLOWO2_01_FTLL_37_12 rifcsplowo2_01_scaffold_10092, whole genome shotgun sequence.
CCAGGGGUGGCGGAGUGGCCAAUCGCACCAGACUGUAAAUCUGGCGGCUUAUGCCUGCGAAGGUUCGAAUCCUUCCCUCUGGA